UCAACAGGCACUGCGGGUCAACGCCUGUAUAUCCUUUGGAAUGUGCUGUCAAAACACAACCAAAUUCUUCUUUGCCGGCAGCUACAGAUCCCCCGUUUCCUAAGGGGAAAUGCCGGUAAUUCCCAGCACCGCCACAUUAGAUUCAAUCGUCUCCUUUUAGUGGACUGAGAGCCUGGCGUGUUUGUUUUACUGAUUUGCAGCGUAAUGCUGGCUGAGUUCUUGAUAUCCUUCAGCUUCAACUGACAGGCAGAUGACUGCCCUGCUUCAAUUCAUCUCUUCUAAUUAUUCCUGGCUUGUAACAGAGGCCGAAGCAUCAUGCGGUAAACCAGCGGGGAAUUCGAAGUAAGCUAUCAAGGCUUUCAAGCCACAAUUCGUCUCAGCGCCAGACGAACGGCCCAAGGGGAUUCCGUCCCCGGGAACUACAAAAUCGUCUGGAUCCCGGACAACACCCAACGAGGAGUGCA